AGUCCCGUAGCUCAGUUGGUUAGAGCACUACACUGAUAAUGUAGGGGUCAACAGUUCAAAUCUGUUCGGGACUA
rnacentral:tRNA from 2 species